GUUGGCGGAGAGUUCGAGGGAAAUCCUAACUCCUUUCUGGCUUUGAUAAUCACAGAGUGAAGAAGAGCUUCAGGACCAAAUGCUAAUCUUAUCAUCUCCUUCUCACCAUGGUCUUGAAGCAGAAGCACCCCCAUGAUUUUGGCAGCGUUUUCAGGGUCCAAGUUUUGGAUCCUUGAAAACACAAUCCUAGUAGCUUCGUAAGAAUCCAUGGGGGGUUGAAAAGGUUGUUCCUUUGUUUCACAACAAACUAAAAAAAACAAAUUUUUGUUGUGAGUUGAGUGUGUUUGUGUCUCUCUCUCUCUCUCUAUCUGUUCUCCAUUGACACAAGCCUACCUACCAAGUUGAGAUGAGUGGUGGCAUAGAGUGUUUCUUUCUGAUAUUCCUGCGAAGCAGAACAAGAGAAAAGAGAAGCAAGUUAAAGAAGAAAAAGGAAGCAAGAAAGUGAAGUGAUAAAAGUAGUAUUCUCGUGUGGUUGAUUAAUUAAUAGGAGUUGGAUGCCACCAAAGAUUUACUACCUUUGAUAAAAGGAAAAAGAAAGAGAGACAGAAGAUGGUGGUUGAAUUUCUGUAUAAAGCAAGAAUGAAUAGUGGAAACUAGUUUGCAGAUGCAACAAAAGAAGAAAACAAACAAACAAACAAACAAGAACAAGUUGACUCUUUCUUUCCUUUUAUUUCCUCUUCCCCCUCUUUUGUUAAGUUAAGCUCCUUCUAAAAAUCUACUUAGUUUUCCAAAUUAAAUUUGAAAUACAAACAUGAGAAGAAGAGUACUGUCCUCCUACCCAUGAAAGGAUUUAACCUUCUCUCUCUUUGUUACUAUCUUUGAAGACAGUUUAUUUUCCACUCACACAAUGGCAGUCAACACUUACUCCAAAAGCUAAACCACCGCCUUAUGACAUGGUUGGUAGCAGAUGAUGCAGCAAGAAGCAGCAGAACAGAAUAAGAACCAUCAAUUGCCUCACUCACUCACUCACUGCCCCUGCUAUGACUUUUAUGGGGCUCUGAGCUGCAAGACUGGUCUGGAGUUGAAUGCUUCAGCUCUUUCUCAGUUACCCUUUAUAUUUCUCUCACCCUCUACAGCCAAUCUACGUAUGUACCAUGUUUGGUGUUGUUACAUCAAAUGAUUUAAUUUAGAGUUAAUUAUAAUCCACUACUGUUUUAAAUUUCAAACUUAUUUAAAUAUUACAUGUCACUCCAUUUACUUAGGUAAUAGAAUUUUUAAUAUAACAUGACAAAAUAUUCUAUUUAACUAUGAUUAACUAGUUGGUUAGCAAUAAAAAUAUUAUAAUCUGACUAAAUAUAAUCCCAAUCUGGAUUUUAACAUUUUUUUUUGUUACCCCAAUUGCCUUUUAACAUUAACCUUUCAAAAUUUAUAUUUAUGUAUAAGACGACACAUUCACAUGAUGGAAGGUCUUUAAAAAAAUCAACUGCUGAAAUCAGUUUGUCAUGGAUUAUAUUACAUUUAUUGCAAAAGGGGUCACAAGACAGUAAGAAACUUGGAAAAGCCAUAAAAUAAAAUUGCUAAAUUAUCCAUUCACCUUGCCUGAUUGUUCCAGCCACGUAUACCAAGUAUACAACAGUUGAAGUCCUUUCUUAGUAGGGCAGUGAUAACAUAACCUUGCCUCUCUUCAUACUUUCACUUAUCAAAUAUGACUAGAUAAAUCCUGAACUCUGUUCCCUGUUUGUUACCAUACAACCCAAAUCAAUUUAUAUAACUGUAGAUGCACUAGUAAUAUUAUAGUGAACAAAGUUUUUUAAGAAAAUAUUGAUUAUCCUUACUAAAAUCCCUUGUUACAGUACAAAAAAUCAUGUUGCAUAUUGCAUAUCCUUACUACAAUCUAACCAUACACACAAUUGAAAAUCUGGUUCCCAUUUGGGCUUCACUUGCAUGAGUUUCAGCUUUGGAGAUCAAUUAUCAUUACACCAAUAGACAUUUCAGUAUGAUAAUCGAUCAUAGUUUUAAUUGACAUUCUUCUAGUUUUCAAAUAAAACCCUAGCUAAUGCCCCCUAAACCCCAAUUUUCAGAAAGCAAAGGGAGAAGAAAAACCUGAGAAAAACCAUAAAUCACCAAUUCAGCGGUGGUAGAUACACGCCGCAACAAAGAGAGUGAACAGAGCACGGCCAUGGCGAGCUGUUGCGCGGCAGCAACCGUUAUCAUGAAGAAUACCAAACCUCUCUGGCUUGACUCUCCGAAGGGUUUGUCUAGUCAUUUAAACAUUUCUAUUAAAUAUGUUUUUUAUAAACUCUCAUCUAAAAUACAUUUUAUAUAUAGUUUUAAAUUUCUGAAGAAAUUUGUUUCAUUGAAAAUAUUACUUAGGACAUAUAAAACAUUUAUGAAUUUUUUUCUUUUCAAAAUUACCAAUUCAUUUGACAAUUAAAAUCAAUUAUAGUUAUUCACGUGUUAUUUUCAUAUUAUUUUUAGUCCUUUAAAAGGAAAAAUGACGAGUGACUAAAUUUGAUAAAAGAGGAUUUUGAAUAACUAAAACUGAUGUGAAAAUUACACGUAUACAUCUAUAUUUGACUAAGAAGUACCAUGUGGACUGAUGAUUAGGUAAAAAAAUACUUCAAACAUGUUCCCCUUCUCACCAUGGUCUUGAAGCAGAAGCACCCCCAUGAUUUUGGCAGCGUUUUCAGGGUCCAAGUUUUGGAUCCUUGAAAACACAAUCCUAGUAGCUUCGUAAGAAUCCAUGGGGGGUUGAAAAGGUUGUUCCUUUGUUUCACAACAAACUAAAAAAAACAAAUUUUUGUUGUGAGUUGAGUGUGUUUGUGUCUCUCUCUCUCUCUCUAUCUGUUCUCCAUUGACACAAGCCUACCUACCAAGUUGAGAUGAGUGGUGGCAUAGAGUGUUUCUUUCUGAUAUUCCUGCGAAGCAGAACAAGAGAAAAGAGAAGCAAGUUAAAGAAGAAAAAGGAAGCAAGAAAGUGAAGUGAUAAAAGUAGUAUUCUCGUGUGGUUGAUUAAUUAAUAGGAGUUGGAUGCCACCAAAGAUUUACUACCUUUGAUAAAAGGAAAAAGAAAGAGAGACAGAAGAUGGUGGUUGAAUUUCUGUAUAAAGCAAGAAUGAAUAGUGGAAACUAGUUUGCAGAUGCAACAAAAGAAGAAAACAAACAAACAAACAAACAAGAACAAGUUGACUCUUUCUUUCCUUUUAUUUCCUCUUCCCCCUCUUUUGUUAAGUUAAGCUCCUUCUAAAAAUCUACUUAGUUUUCCAAAUUAAAUUUGAAAUACAAACAUGAGAAGAAGAGUACUGUCCUCCUACCCAUGAAAGGAUUUAACCUUCUCUCUCUUUGUUACUAUCUUUGAAGACAGUUUAUUUUCCACUCACACAAUGGCAGUCAACACUUACUCCAAAAGCUAAACCACCGCCUUAU
rnacentral:lncRNA from 1 species